rnacentral:lncRNA from 10 species
CCGAGACCCGCCUCCGAACCAGGCCCCACCUCCUGAGCCAGGCCCCCGCCCCCGAUUCUGACUCCGCCCUCUCUGUCCUUCGGUGGAGACUCCGGGAAAAACCUGCCUCCCAGUCUGCCCUCUCUCCGUCUGUCUGUGCUUGUUUUUCUACGUUUAUCCCUGUCGCUUUCCCCACUUAUUCUGCAGGCAUGGCGCGCCCCCAGUGCCGGCUUGGUGCCAGGGCUGGGAGAUCCGGGGGUGAAUCGUGAGCCCGGCCCACAGCGAGCUUGCAGUCUAGAGAUCAAGGCAGUCUUGUCCACAACCUGCUGUCACAUAAAGCAAAUGUAGCUGGUGUAGCACCAGGGGCUGCAAUCAAGUGCGGUGGGGCGGCAAUAGUGACCACGGAAAUAAUCAGAAUUGCUUUUAAUUCAGCUCCUACUAUAUUCCCGCAUCCCUGAGCCUCACAAUCAUCCUCCAAGGUAGGUAUUUUUGUCUUUCUCUAACAGAUGAAAACUCUGAGUUUCAGAAGAAUUAAAUGACAUCCCCCCAAAAGAGAGACAGUAUAAGAAUCCAAGUCAACCUGAGUCCAAAACCAGUGGCCCUUAACACUGUGUGGCUUUAUGGAGGACAUGGAGUUUAAGUUUACCUUCAAGGAUGAGCAACACUUUUCUUCAAGCAGAAAAAGAAGGGAAUGGGUGAACACGGUCCCAGGAUGUUCGCUUUGGCAGAUGAUUAGAAUACGUGCUGACUUGAUAGCCACAACUGUCCUGAUAAGAAAGUACGCCGGCCUGGCUGGGCAUGGUGGCUCACGCCUGUAAUCCGAGGAUUUUGGGAGGCCCAGGCGGGCGGAUCACUUGAUGUCAGGAGUUCGAGACCAGCCUGUCCAACAUGGUGAAACCCCGUCUGUACUAAAAAUACAAUAAUUAGCCGAGCAUGAUGGCAUGUGCCUGUAAUCCCAGCUACUCGGGAGGCUGAGGCACGAGAAUCGCUUGAACCUGGAAGGCAGAGGUUGCAGUUACUUUCCCGACAUUGCACCACUGCACUCCAGCCUUGGCGACAAGAGCGAAAUUUUGUCUCAAAAAAGAAAGAAAGAAAGCACUCAGGCCUGACCCAGGACCACAGCAGUGGACAUGGAGGGAGGAGGCUGGGGGUAGUUGGAUUGGUAUGAUAUGUCACUGAGUAAACGAAGGAAGGGACAGAAAGAGAACUCCAAAGUGUCAAAAGCCUGGACAACAGAGAGAAAGCAUCCUUGUCCUAUCAUUUAAAGCACCUGUUGGGCCAAAUAGGGAGCACCUUUCAGAAUCCAUGUGCACAAGAUCUCAGCAAUUCUACGUCCAAGAAUGUAACCUACAUCCAAGAAUGUACUGGAAUUUAAUUCCACAUCCAAGAAUCCCCAUAGGUAGCAAAGAUGUAUAUUUAAGGGUAUUCUCUCAGCUUUGUUUUUAUGUUAGGAGAUUGGGAACAACCUAAAUGCCCAUCAGCUGGUGACUGGCUAGGUUAACUAUUCACAAAUGGAAUACUAGGUAGCCUCCUAAAAGAGGAAAGCAAUUCUACAUAUCCUGAUACAGUGUGGUCACCAGAUAGAUGGCUAAGAUACAAAUAAAACAAACAAGUUGCAGUGUUAGAGUAUGCUAUGUAUCACUCCUUUUUAAGGACAAAAAGAGGAUAUACUUUAACUUUUUAAGAUACCAAAGUAUUUAUUUAUUUAAAAUUUUUUUCACAGAAUUGUUAUAGCAUGUAGAACCAAAAAUUAUUUACAAAUGAAAUUAUUCAAUGUCUGAGAUUUGUGUCAAAAUAAUGGUAUGGGGGUUUAGUGAGUAAGCAUGUAGGUAGAACAAGAUUGUCCAUGAGCUGAUAGUUGUUGAAGCUGGGUGAUCACCUGGGUGUUUUAUACUAUUUGGGUGUUAAACUAUUUUUUUUUCUAUUCUUGUGUAUGUGUCAAAUUUCCACUUAAGAAAAUGGGGGAAAAUGGUGUCAGCCCUCCAUUCCAGCUGAACACACCAUGUUAGUUCAUGCCCCAUCACACCACUCUUCUAGCCAUCUGUCAAUCUUCUCUGCCUGGCAAAUUUCUACUCUUUCAUCAGGACCCAGGAUAAUUAUCACCUUCUCUGAGAGGGCUUUUCCAACCCCUAUAGUCAGAAUCAUUCCUUCUCUAUGCUUGGGGCCCCCUGAGAAAUGUCUCUAAUCCUGUCACAAAUACAUAUUCCAGUGUCAUUAUCCAUCUCCCUAGUAGACAGUGAACAUUUCCAUCAAUGAGACAAUGUCUCAACUAUCUUCUUUCUGUCUCAACCCUUAACCCUGGCACUUAAUACUUGUUUGUUAAAUUCAUGGGUCAGGUCUAGUGAAGACAAUGAUUAGUUGUUUGGUUUGAUACAUACUGACCUUGAGAAGUCAAAGGGAUAUAGGAGGAGAGAAAGUGAAUGAGGAACUGAUGUUACUGAGCCUGUGCUAGGAGACUGCUGGGGCAAGGAAUAGAGUGAGGAGAAAGGAGGCAAGGCUCCUGCUGGCAAGGACCUCACUUUCAUUUCAGCUGGGGAAGAGCAUGGAAAGAUGUCAUUCUAGAGCAUGGUAAGUGCCAUGGAUGAAAUAGACAAGGCAAAACUUAUUCCACUUCAGCAAAGCGAGUGUCAAUAUUCUACUUAUGGAUGAGUGGAUGAACACAUGUUCAGAUGAAAUCACUUGUGCAAAGUUUACAGCUGUUAGUGCUGAACAGGAACAAGCCUUUGUCUGCCAUCAUGUGCGGCCAUGCUUUUUCCUCUGCCCUUCACUGCCAUUCGACAUGCAGGUGACACUCUGGAGCUCGGACCGAACAUUCAGAUUUGGAGGUCAUUCUACAGGAGAUAGUUGAAAUGAGGGGAGGGGAGAAGGUCUCCUAGAAACCACAAGAGAGGGAAAGUAACAGCAGCUGACUUUCAUUGAGUACUUAGUACACUCCAGACCCCAUACUAAGCAUUUUUUUUUUUGAGAUGGAGUCUCGCUCUGUUGCCCUGGCUGGAGUGCAGUGGUGCAAUCUCGGCUCACUGCAACCUCCUCCUCUUGGGUUCAAGCGAUUCUCCUGCCUCAGCCUCCCAAGUAGCUGGGACUACAGGUGUGUGCCACCACGCCCAGCUAAUUUUUUGUAUUUUUAGUAGAGCCAGCAUUUCAUCGUGUUAGUCAGGAUGGUCUUGAUCUCCUGACCUCAUGAUCUGCCCGCCUCAGUCUCCCAAAGUGCUGGGAUUACAGGCGUGAGCCACCGCACCUGGCCCAUACUAAGCCUUUUACACUUUUAAAAGUAAAAGUGAAAUCACUUUGCACAAGUGAUUUCAUCUGAACAUGUGUUCCUCCACUCAUCCAUAAGUAGAAUAUUGACACUUGCUUUGCUGAAGUGGAAUAAGUUUUGCCUUGUCAAUUUGUUUAUUUAUUUAUUUAUUUAUUUAUUUAUUUAUUUAUUCUAUUAUAUAUUUAUUUAUUCCAUAUAACAACCCUCAUUAAGUAGGAACUCUUUUUUGAGGGACAGGGUAUUACUGUGUUGCCCAGGCUAGUCUUGAACUUCUGGCCUGUGGUGUUCCUCCUGCCUUGGCCCCACAGAGUGCUGAGAUUACAGGCUUCAGCCACCAUGCCCGGUCUAAAGUAGGAACUCUUAACAGUCCCACAUUUAUAGCCUGGGAAAAUGAAGCUUAGGAAGAAUGAAGUCAACAGAGCAACAGAGGUCACACACCUCGCAAACAGCAGAGCCCAAAUGUCUUACCAUGCACUACCCUUUUGAGAAAGAAGACUGAAAUCAGGAGCCUGGUAAGGAAAUGGUGGAAACAGUGAAAGAGAACAAGAUGCACUGUUUCAUUUGUGAGAUGAGAAACAGAAAAAAAGAAAUGUCCUGAGAGCCCAAGAAAGACUGUUAGGAAAGGAACUGGGGCAAGUGUCAGAGUCCAUGGAGAAACCCAGCAGGGAAACCUGAGGGUCAUGGCAAUUGGCCAACACGAGGCGAUAAGGGACCUUUGAUGGAGCUAUUUUUGGUGGUGCUAACCUUCUUUGCUACAGGCUCACAACUGGAGCAUCUGCUUGCUUCCUCUGACCUGCCCCCUGGACUCAUGUUGUCAUUCUUCUCGCUCAACCUGUCUGCCUAGGGAAGAAGCCCUGGACUGUGUUUCCCCAAUCUCAGUAUUCCCAACCCUCCUGGCCCCCAACCCAGUACCUGCAGAGCUGACUCUAACCACCCAGUGCACCUCCCGCAGGCUGCAGCAGCCCCCAUCGAGGCCACUCAUUUACAGCACAGGCCCACACAGUCUGACAAAGGACAGCUGCAAUCCUCUGUCAACUGCAGUCCUUUCCCAGGCACAUGCUGGAUUGGGAAACAGGUGGGAGAAAAGAACAGGUAAGACGUUCCUGUGGGAGUGAGUUAGCCUGGCAUUUACUGUGCCUCUUUGUGAAGAGCAGCCAACCUUUUCUGGCUUAAUCAGACUUGCCUAGAGCACUUGAAAAGAAUAGCUCUGAAGUCCAUGUGAUUUUGCUUCCCCACCCCCACCCCAACCAUGACUGAUUGGAACUGGAUAGAUGUCUUCCUCAGGAGGAGGAGCCAAGGGCUGUUUCCUGUCCCUGGACUUUGGAAUUGGGCCACCUAGUCAGUGAGUGGCCAAGAACCCAAUGAGGCUGCCCCAUGAAGGGAGCUGAGCUCAGUCAAAGAGAUUCAUGGCAGAGCACUAGGGUUAAUAAAGGCCCACGAACUCUUGUUGCUGAAGGCUCUAGGGCUGCCCCAUCCCUGCCCUUCCUGAGAUUUGGUGGAUCACCUCUUCCUGGGUUUCCACAAGUCCUCUCUCUCUCUCUCAAUAACCUAUUAAAUUGGGGUGUGAGUGGAUUCCUGUCCCUUGCAUCCAAAGUCUCCUUGGCUAUAAUGGAGUUCUAUAGGAAUGAGAGCAAGGGGCAGGAGCCCAAGGGUAGGAGGUUCUAAGUUUAGGACUUUAGAAAUAACAUUGUUAAGUGUGUUGAUGUCUAAGUCAGAAUGGAGGUGAUUCCCUCAAGUUUCUAAGCAUCAUCCAUUCCAUUCUGUCCAACAG